rnacentral:rRNA from 1 species
AUUGAACGCUAGCGGCAGGCUUAACACAUGCAAGUCGAGCGAGCGGCGGACGGGUGAGUAAUGUCUGGGAAAGUGCCUGGUGGAGGGGGAUAACUACUGGAAACGGUGGCUAAUACCGCAUACUAUUGGAUGGGCCGAUAUGGGAUUAGCUAGUGGGUGGGGUAAAGGCUCACCAAGGCGACGAUCCCUAGCUGGUCUGAGAGGAUGACCAGCCACACUGGAACUGAGACACGGUCCAGACUCCUACGGGAGGCAGCAGUGGGGAAUAUUGCACAAUGGGGGCAAGCCUGAUGCAGCCAUGCCGCGUGUGUGAUGAAGGCCUUCGGGUUGUAAAGCACUUUCAGCGGGGAAGCGUUACCCGCAGAAGAAGCACCGGCUAACUCCGUGCCAGCAGCCGCGGUAAUAC